AUAAUAAUAUUAUCUGGGAUUUAAAAUCCCUCGGCCGCAAGGCUGUGCGGGUUCAAGUCCCGCUCUGGGCACCA
rnacentral:tRNA from 1 species